AUUCUACUCCCUCCGUUGCACAAUACAUGCCUUCUAUUUGUCAAAAUAUAUAUGUAUCUAGACAUGUUUUAGUAUAUAGGUACAUCCAUUUUUGGACAAAUGGAAGUCAAGUAUUUUGNUAUAGGUACAUCCAUUUUUGGACAAAUGGAAGUCAAGUAUUUUGGAACGGAGGGAGUACACA
rnacentral:pre_miRNA from 1 species